rnacentral:lncRNA from 1 species
GUGAUUCUAAGCUCGCAGGCUUCUGGAACCUUGGAACACUGGGGAGACUUAAUUAUAACAGAAUUUUUCCAUAUACCAGACUAAUGCAGGAAUAGAGUAUGGGUAAAUGAGAACACCAAAGCUCCUGGAGGUGGUUGCUUUGGUCCUGGCAUUUUAUUGCAGUCACCGAAAAGUAACUGAUAAUCAGUAGCCCAGAGAUUGAGAAGGGAGACUUGUAGGUGAAGACGAGGAAUCGUGAGAGAUAAAGGAAUGGGUGUGGGUUGAAAACCCAGGGCCCCAAAACUCCACGUGAAGUGACACCCACAUAUCCAUAUGUCAUCUUGUAUCUAUGCAAGUGUUAAGUCAGAGAAGAAACAAGGAGACAGCGGCUACCCCUGAAAGAGCUGCUCUCAGCCUGCUGUCCUCUCUCUCUGG